rnacentral:misc_RNA from 1 species
AGACGGCAGCUGUGUUCCUGCUGCUGCCCAUAGUUUUCGCUAUCCCUCUCUCUGGCUUUCCCCAUGCUGUGCACAGAAGCUCGAGGCGCACUCUGCUUGCGUUCGUCGCAUUUUCUGUCGCGUUGUUUCUCGCUGCACACCCCACUUUCUCCACCGUGCCCUCCCACGAGGUGUGCUGGUGCGCCCUCGUUUUCAUUCGUCUUCUCUUUCCUGUGAUGUUUCCUUCGCUUGUACCGCGCGCUGACACACACGCCCACGCACACGCUCCUCACGCAUGAAUGGACGCACGCAGGCGUCACCGACGGUGUGCUACAGUGGUCUCUUUGUGAGCGCUGCUGCCUCAUUUGGUCGCUCCCCGUCUUCUCGUCUGAAUCGCCUGCCUUCUCAGCGGCACUACGAAAAUUCUGCGCUUCUCAAUUCGACCUGCGACCUCCCUCGGUGCCUCCACCAGCCCUGCUGCUUAAGAGUUCUUCUGCCGUAAUGGCAACCUGCUCCACUCCGAGAUCCGCCGUCGGCUACGAAAAACGCUCAUGCUGUCUCUGCCACGCGACCACCACUACCACACGCACCACCGCGGCACUGAGUUGGUGCCCUUUGACCAGGUUAUCGGCAUCACCCCAGAUGGCGUGCCCGUCAUAUCCAACGGGAACGAGUUCCAUUUCACCAACCUCGAGUCCGUGACACCGUUCUAUCAGGCGCUCUGCUCCUUCGACCGCAAGGCGCCGGUGACUGUGCCGUACAAGAAGCUUGGUGUCAAAUGGCAGUGCGUUGAGUUUGCACGCCGCUACCUCGCGUCCCGCAAGGCUGUGUGGACGGCGUCCAUGCCGAUCGCCGCGGAUAUGUGGAGAGCGGAGACGCCGUUCGUGCGCGUGCAGGAUGGCACACCGGUGGAGUUCACGCGGAUCGCCAACAGAUCACACGGCCCGGCGCCGGCGAUGUCGGACAUCAUUGUGUGGGGUCAGAGCGAGGAGACGCCGUUUGGCCACGUCGCGGUUGUGACGGAGGUGCUGCCGGAGGCGGUGCGAGUGGCGGAGCAGAACCAGGGCUUUGAGCGGUGGCCGCAGGGCAUGCUGUACAGCCGGGAGAUUCCAGUGCAGCGCAGCAGCGCAGGCACAGUAGAGCUCGUAGACGAGGACCCGGUGCUGGGGUGGGUGACGCUGCACUGCCCCUACUACGACUUUCGCGAUGGCGACCUGGCCGACAAGUUCCGCAUUGUCACCGGACCGGGCUGCAUCGUGCGCCAGCCCUUCCCCAAACACGUGGAGUUACCGUGGCUUCAACCAGAGGAGCGGUGCGACUUUUAUCUGAAGCGUUCCCUUGCGAUUGGCGGCAACGUCGGCGACGACGCGAGGGCGAAGGAGUGUGACGUGCCCAGCGCUUUUUACUUUCUCGACUACAACAUCUGGUGCCGGCUCGGGCGAGCGGCUCACUCGCUGCACCGCAUUGCCAUGACUGCCACAGCCCAGGUCCUCGAUGACGCAGACUCGGCGUAUCUCUUGGAGCACUACUUUGGGCUACCCCCAGAGAUUCAUCCGCUGCUGCGUCGCUCGUGGGAGAUGAUGCCGCCAAUGAGUGGCCGCUUUGACUUCGGCUAUGACGGCAACAAGGUGGCAAUGCUGGAGUACAACUGCGACUCCUCUGGCGCGCUGCUAGAGUGCUGCAACACCCAAGAGAAGAUGGCCAACUACUACGGCGUGUCGCAGGGGAUGUCGACCGGCUCCUUCUUGGGGGCCAAGUGCGUGUCACACUUUGCGCGCUUGAUGUCGAACGAGAAGGUGUGCCCCAAGCACAAGCUGAUUCACUUCAUGAUCGACGACGACGACGAGGAGCGCUACACCGCCAUGUGCAUGAUGAACUUUGCAGAGAAAGCCGGCUUCCGCACGAAGCUUUGCGUGAAGCUGAUCGACUUCCGUUACCGCGACGGCGCUCCUGCCAACGCCGCUCCGCUCUCCGUGACAUGCGACCACCCCAUCAUAGUUGACAGUGACGGCGACGAGGUUCUUCUGGUGUGGAAGACGUGGUCGUGGGACACGGUGUUGAGAGAAUACCACCGCCAGUGCAGUGCAACAGACUCGGUCAGCAGUCCGACGCUCUCUGACAUUCUCCUCAACAACAACAUUUGCGUCAUCGAGCCGCUCUGGAAAGCUGUAACGGGGAGCAAGGCGCUUCUUCCCUUUAUGCACGCUCUGGCUCCUGACCACGAGCACCUCCUCGCGGCGGACUUUGUACCCACAAAAGACAUCAUCUCCCACCACUACGUCUCCAAGCCCAUCAACGGUCGAGCUGGGCAGAACAUCAUGAUGUUUGACCCCGUGACUGACGCGGCGGAGCUGAACGCGGCUCCUCAAGAGAUGCUCAGUGAGAGCUCGUCGCAGCUCUUCUCCACCAAGCCGCCUGCCGCCUCCUGCUCUGCGCUACAGAGCCAGUCGAUAGACCGCACCAAUGAGUGCUCGACUGGCACGUUUUUCGACUCCGCCGUCGUCUAUCAGAAGCGUUUUUUCUUGAAGAAAUUUGAAGGCAAGUACUUCCCCAUUUUCUGUGGAUGGAUGAUCGACGACGAAUUUGGUGGUGUCGUAGUCCGCGAAGACACAUCAAAGAUCACGAAGCUGGAUAGCAUCGUCAUCCCCGCGCGCGUUGUGCGCGAGAACGUCUCGCUCGGUGGGGCGUACACUGACGAGGGUGAGACGUAGCUCUCACCCUCGCUGUGCCUUUGAUCACCGCUGAACGGCUGAGCGCCGCGCCCACUGUGGCGCACCAACACACGCGCAUACAUGAGCGCGCAUGUCUUUCGCCGUUCAUCUCUUGUGGCUCUUCCUCAUCAGCUGCAGCGGAUGAAAAGAGACGAAGAGGUGGCUGACACACAUACGCAAGCUGGUAUGCUUUGAAAAAUGCCUUUUAUGUGACUACCGUGCGCAGUCCGAUCCGUUCCCCAUCUCCUUUCCGGAGUUUGAACGCCGUGUUGUCACAGGGAGCAUCCAUCCUCACACCGACAUGCGUGCACGCAAAUGUGCUGCACUGCACUCUUCCCGAAGCCUACACCUCGCGUCUGUACAGUGGCAGGCGCAGCGGCAGUGGGAUGACGCGCCGCAUUUCUCUUCGAUGGCGCACGUGUAGUUGAGGUGCUUGCGUUACCUUGUGUGCGCGUUUGUUUGUUCGGAUGGAGUCAGGGCGUGAAGGGGGAGGGGCAGAGAGACUGCGAGGGCGAGCGAGUGACACGUCCGUACACAAGAGGGCAGCGAACGACGGACUGCUCUUGUGCGCACGCCUUUCAAGAUCCCAUUUGCCUUUUCUUUUUUUUCCCUCCCCCCUUUCCCCCUCACUAACGGCGGAGGGGGGAGGGACCCACGCCUCCGUGCGCCAUGUCGCAGGGCUCUGUGCACCCACUCCCUCUCCCCACUCGGUGCGUGGCGAAGCCGGGCAGCCCCUCCCCUCCCCUAUCCCGGCCAAUGCACAGCCCCUUCUCGUGGUGAGAGGGCCAAGCGCCUGCGACGUUGGGGAGUCGGAGAGACUCAGCGCCACUCACGUCGGCGGUCCGACGGUGGACGGCGUUGCACCGGAGCGACCUGCAGCACUGCACACGCGUGUGCCAUCCAUAUGAAGGGCAGAGUGUGCCGACGUGGCUGGGACGUAUCCCACCCGGCCCUCGCUGCUUAGUGGUGCGGGGCGGCUCAGGCGCCCCACGAGGGAUAUGCACCACGUGGCAACCAGCAUGGCUGGGGCGGCUGCGAGGCGACCUGGGAUGCGGGCGGGUGCGUUGCCUUUGAGGCGGGGGCCGUGCUGAGAUGACCGGGCCGGCGCGUUGCUGUGGCGCGCGUGUCUACGGCUGCUCCGCACCGCGCGAUGCGAGGGGGAGGGGCCCUGUGGCAGACCCGGGGGGUGCAGUGUUGACCUCGCGUUGCACAGCAGCGAAACGGACACGCUGGCGAAUCUCUCAGUCCCUGCGUCAUCGCACUGACCUUCGCGUGCGGUAUACACUGGAGCGGCGAUGAGGGCUUCUUUAUCGUAACCGAACGCACGCCGCCCCUCUCUUACCUUCCUCUCCGUCGCUUCUCCUCUUUCUCUUUUUACUUAG